rnacentral:lncRNA from 1 species
ACUGUUUGUUUUUUACAUUUGUGCUGUAGAAUAUUUGUUGUCCGCUAUUCACAAUGAUCCUACAUCUAUUAAUUUCAAGUCAUCUUCAACUUUCCGUCGUGUAUUGAGUUCUCUAAUAAUCACUAAACAGAUAUGAUUUUGAUUUGAUAGAAGAAAGGUUUGUGUAAGGUUUAUUUUGUUAAACAUGUUAAAUAAGUAAAUAUGCUGGUACGUAUGGGCUAUGACAAAUGAAACUCAAAAAUAGUAAUAUGUGAUUUUGGAUGUGUUGUUGCUUCAGCAUUACAGGACAUCUAAUUGUUAGACUAGAGAAUAAUCAAGAUUUUUCAUCUUGGAAUGUGUUUCUCUUUUGAACUGUGGAACUGCGUGCUAACUGGAUCACAUAUAUGUUAGACCUAUAUAAAUGUGAAGCUGCAGUUUUCUCUUUUGGCAAUUUCAAUUGUUCUUUAAGUUUUAUCAUCUCACAUUUGGAUGUUUGUAUUUCUUUCUAACCAUGAUUGGUUGAUUUGCCUCUUCACUAGAUAACUUAUAUGUGGUUUAUGUACUUAUUUUGUUGUGGAAUUGUCC